AUGGGGUCUGUACUGUCCGCCGGGGCCGGUCAUAGGCCGAGACGAAGGCCAUUUCCAAGCGGAUGGACGUGGAUUGGAUGUGGAGAAGGGCGUGUGUUUUGGAAUGCACGUACCCCAGUGCUUGACGAGGGGCCCUUCCAGGCCCCAGUGCUCCACUCUGCAGUCAUAGAAGUCUUCACUGGCGGGAACAAAGGUGAGGUAACUGAACUUGAGGAAGGAGUGGUCACUCUUGGGGUAGAAGGUGGUCUCAGUGACACCUUCUGCAACAAACUGUCCAUUGUAAAACCAAGUGAUGUUGAUCACAGGAGGAAAGAUGUUGUCCACUUGACAGAUGAGGGUGUUGGGAAUCCCCAGGACCACGGAGGAUUUGGGAAACACAGCCACUUCAGGGAUGUCUACAAUGAAGACCAAAGAUGGAUUGGAAUUUCUGACAACCGUGCCUUAUGCUCCUUACUCAGUUUAGGGGAGGCUCCCCCACCCCAUGCACCAUCUCCCCAGCUCUUAGUGUAUUAUUUCCUAUGUCCUUUCAGACUCACUUUACAGUCAGCCAUAACCUCCCUUUAUUUUCACCUGUUUCUUAGAUUAUAUAUUGAUCAUUAUUACUAUUAUUUUACUGGUAGGACCACCCAAAACUUUGACCUUGGCUCUUCUAUCUUCGGAAUGAGGAAGAUUAGUGCUAUCUGUGGUGACUUCAGAACAGGGGCUGACAUCUUUAUCUACAGAUGCUGAACUGUCCUCUGAACUGUGCUGUGAAUUCUCUUCUGAACUGUCCUCUUCUUUAGGGUCACUAUGAAGCUUAGAACACGUUCUUCUCGCCGGGAAUCCACAGGGCAGAGUGGGUCAGUGUGUGAGAGCUAGGAGACAGAUGGGCCACGGGCUGAGCAGCUGCAACUGUUCUCCUGCUGAUGCUUUAGGACACAAUACCAGCAGGAGCACGGGGCCCUGAUGAGGUGAAAGACAAAGCGACCACAGCUUCCUCGUUCUGGUGGUCAAGGGGAUUUCCCAGCCUGAGGCAUGUGCAGAAGAGGUCUUCAGUCUAGGAGGGCAAAUGAGGAAGGAGACACCAGCCCCCUAGAAACCUUUGCGCCAGAAUCCACCUUGGCUGAGAGAUGCAUGCCCAUCAGGAAGAAUCCUGAGUCAGGUGAAAACUGGGCACAAGCGAGAUGACUGGCCCGAGACAGCCCAGAAAACUGCCCCCAUAUAAGCAAGCUAAAUCGUCCCUACUGUGUGCAGCUCAGCCCAUUUGGAGUGAGUCGCCAUUUACGUUUAAUAGUGAAAGACUGGUUAAUAAUAGCAAUGCAUUGUAAAAACUUCAGAAGGAAAGGAGAAUCUUUUAUGGACCAUUUGUUUUGUGUGUGGCAGUUUUCAGUUAUUAGUUUUUAAAAUCAGCACUUUCUAAUGGAAAUAGCUUGAUAAAAAAUCUGUCCAGGGUUUUGAGACCCAUUAAAAAACGUUAAAAAAAAAAAAAUCCAAACUCUGAGUUCUUUUAUGAGCUCUUCCACACAUACUCUGUUUUUAAUAAACACUGUCUUGAUUUCACAAGCUUGGUCUCUUUGCUGAAUUCUUUCUUCAAAGGAGACAAGGGCUGAGGUACUACUUGGCUACUUAGGCCAAGAGCUUGGGAAUAUCCUCUUUUAGAACUUCAAGGAGUGGUUCUUGGAACUUGGGGAGGGAUAUUUCAAGAUUAAAUCUGUAGCUGAGGACUGGGUAUUUGCCAGGAAAUGGAAUAGAAAGGGGGAACAAUUUAGAGUGUUGGGGGGAAGACUAGCUACCUUGGGGAGGAAAAAGAGACCAGGAACAGGAGAUAGAUACCGUGAAGAGAGACCACACUUACCGUUGGUGGCAGGUGUAAAGUUGGAAUUUUUCAUCAAGAUGUCCAAAUUUCUUUUUGACAUAACAAUGUUUCUCAGGGCACUCUGAAUUUCAAACAUUGUGAUAUUGUUAAACUCGGGCAGCCUCCAGACAGUCUCUUUUUUCCUCAGGUCCACGUAGAAGAGCUCGUCUCCAUCAAAUUCAAACGUGAACUGGCCAGAGGCGCCGUACGUCUGGUAGACAUUUGUGCCGUAAGUGCCCACGUGGUCCGCUGGUGCGUGGCCAUGCCAAAGCAGGAAGGUAAGAACAGGGAAGCGGGAUACAGGGGAGGGGAAAGAAUUGGAUUAAAUAAAAACAGAUGAGAAGUGGUCUGUCUAGGAGUGUGGGUUCAUAUUUGGCCUGGUCCUACACCACUUCCUAUUUCUGUCUUUUUUAUCCUAGGCUUAGGGAGGGUUAUGUACAUGCCAAGAGGUGCUAAGAUGCUGUCUUAUUCACUCUGUACCCCAGUAACUUGAGGGGUUCAUGGCACAUAGCAAGAUUUCAGUUAAAUGAGUUAAUGAUGAAUGCUUGUGUGUGUGCUAGUCUCUUCAGUUCAGUUCAGUUCAGUUCAGUCGCUCAGUCGUGUCCGACUCUUUGCGACCCCAUGAAUCGCAGCACGCCAGGCCUCCCUGUCCAUCGCCAGCUCCCAGAGUUCACUCAGACUCACGUCUAUCGAGUCAGUGAUGCCAUCCAGCCAUCUCAUCCUCUGUCGUCCCCUUCUCCUCCUGCCCCCCAAUCCCUCCCAGCAUCAGAGUCUUUUCCAAUGAGUCAAUUCUUUGCAUGAGGUGGCCAGUCAUGACCUAUUGUUUGCGACCCUCUGGACUGUAGCCCAACGGGCUCCUCUGUCCUUGGGAUUCUCCUGGCAAGAAUACCAGAGGGGGUUGCCAUGCUCUCCUCCAGGGGACCUUCCUGACCCAGGGGUCAAACCUGUGUUUCCUGCAUUGCAGUUGGAUUCCUUACCCCUGAGCUGCUGGGGAAGCCCUAGGUAAUGAUUACAUAAUUUUAAUUCUUAAGUUUAUUUCUAGUCACCUAAUCUCUUACUUCUCAUAGCACCUAUCUCAUUCUUAACACACUAUGGAAUUUAUUUACUUAUGAAAUGUGUUUUUUUAAAAAGUUAUCUGUCUGAUUGUAAGAACAUGAGUUUCCCGUGAAUAGUAAUCUUGACCUGUUGUUGUUGUUUGUGCCACAUAGCAUGAGGGAUCUUAGUUCCCUGACCAGGGAUUGAAUCCUUGUCCUCCGGCAGUAGAAGCAUGGAGUCCUGACCGCUGGACCACCAGGGCAUUCCCAGAAAUCUUGCUUUAUGCCCAGAGGAGUGCUUGACACCUCGCUAAAUAUUUGUUCACCUAAUGAAUCACAGUUAGAAAAUGUUUUGAAGAUUCCAUUCCAUUCUUCUUCUCUUUUCCUUGACUUCCCACCCCACCCCACCCCGCCUUUGGGUUUCAAUAACUAUUGUCAAUGCCCAUGACACAGUAGGACAAAGUUUUGGACAGGACACUGAAAUUUAGUGGAAUAAGCCACCUUCAAGAAGGUGUUGUGAAUACAGAAUGGAGGAGCCAAGGGGGCUGAUUAACCAAAAUUAAUCUGCUUUUAUCCUCUUUUUAGAGCUUUGCUGGCUGGAGGUGACAGGACUGGUAGUUUGGGUUGACAAGCUGAGACUAACCUAUUUUAAGUUCCCAGGUUUUCCACCAACAUUACCUAAAUUUCCAAAACAAACAAUCAAAUGUGAAGUUAUAAUAAAUCAUGCUAUACUUGGGCAUUACGUUGCUUUUUAGUCCAUGGGGUCUCAAAGAGUUGGACAGAACUGAGUGACUUUCACACACAUACACAUACACACAACUCUUUGUUAUUUAGAAUGCACAUCUGAAAAUAGAGUUGCCAUAUGGUCCAGCAAUCCCACUCCUGGGUAUAUAUCCGGAAAGAACUAUAAUGCAAAAAGAUAAAUGCACCUUUAUUUCACAGCAGUGCUACUUAUAAGAGCCAAGACAUGGAAACAACCUAAAUGUCUACUGACAAAUGAAUGGAUAAAGAAGAUGUAUAUAUAUAGUUGUUUAGUUGCUAAGUCAUGUCAGACUUUUUGUGACCUCAUGGACUGCAGCCUGCCAGGCUCCUCUGCCCAUGGAAUUCUUCAGGCAAGAAUACUGAAGUGGGUAGCCAUUCCCUUCUCCAGGGGAUCUUCCCAAUCCAGGGAUCAAAUCUGGGUCUCCUGCAUUGCAGGCAGAUUCUUUACCACCUGAGCCACCAUACUCCAAUAUAAAAUAAAAAUUAAGAAAUUCUUCACAAUUGUAAACCCCCACCCCUCAACUGUACACUCACCCACGAUGUCUUCACCUCCACAGGGGCUCAUCAUGGCGGCCAGAAUGAGAGCCCUCAGAAUCAGAGCUUUCUUCAUCCUCCUCCUCCUCCAAGGGUUUCCUCAGGAGUGGCUGUUCCAAGUGGUGCCUCACCAGGAAGGUGGUCUAAAGAGAACUGCUGGAGAAGUCAUGUUGGAGCAGCCCACGCCUCACCCUGCUCUAUCGUGUUUCAGCCCAUCAGAGAAAUUCCCUGAGCUGACAUCUCAGUUGCCAGCUGAAGCAUUUUUAGGAAGAGACCUGUAAGAAGCCUGGAAAACUCCCUUGUUUUGAAUUAUCUAAGGGCAUACAUAGAUUCAAACGGGAGCAGAAGGAUAUCAUACAUAGGAGGAAUCAUCAAAGAGUAAAGCUUGUCGCAAGAAAAUUUGAACGGUUUUGAGAGAUCCUAAAGAAAGAAGCUUGUGGCUUCCCUUGGGGCUCAGCUGGUAAAGAAUCUGCCUGCAAGGCGGGAGACCUGGGUUCGAUCCGUGGGUUGGGAAGAUCUGCUGGAGAAGGGAAAGGCUACCCACUCCAGUCUUCUGGCCUGGAGAAUUCCAUGGACGUACAGUCCAUGGGGCCGCAGAGUUGAACACGACUGAGCAACUUUCACACAGAGCAUAGAUUCAAAAGGGAGCAGAAGGAACUUCCAUUGUAUAAAUGAAAGGAGAAACACUCUGACAGAAAAUUCCAGUUGCAUGGAGCUUACCUCCUAUACUUUGGAUUAAACUUGUCC
rnacentral:lncRNA from 1 species